rnacentral:misc_RNA from 1 species
AAGUCGUAACAAGGUCUCCGUAGGUGAACCUGCGGAGGGAUCAUUACCGAGUGAGGGCCUUUGGCUCGACCUCCAACCCUUUGUAAUUGAAGCACUCGUGGCUCGGGUGCAGCCCUGCCGUCGAGCCUGGGCCCUGGUGUCGAUACACAAACUCUGCGUCUCUGCGUCUGAGUCUUAAAGUAAAUGAAUUAAAA